CAUUUUUUCGCCAGAUUCAAUCGACUCUCUUAUAUCCCACGACUGCGGCGAUCAGGGCCGGCAGAUUGGGGGUGGCCGCCCGCCGGCCGACCUUGAAUCCACCACACAACCAUCCCCACGAGCACUCCGCUCUAUCCCCCCUGCUCACAGCGACCGGCGACGGCGGAUUGGAGGAGGCCGCCCGACCGGCCGAGCUCAGAUCCACUACAUCAACCAGCGACAACGGAUUGGAGGAGGCCUCCCCACCCGUCUCUCUUUCCCCACAGAUUGCAGCGACCAGCGUCGGCUGACGAAUAAGGACCGAGUCUGCACUUGUUCGAAACUGAAUAAAGGCCGAGUCUGCAGUUGUUCUUGUUUAACUGAAUUCUGGAUGCUCCAUAUUUCCAACUUCAGUUACUAAAAUCAUGCCACCAGUUCUGGAGAGUGAUAUGCAUAGCAGGGAAUAUCUUGCGGAACAGAAACGCAAGGGUGAGGCAUAUUUGAAGGAAAGGAAUGCAAGGAUUGCGGAACGCAAGGCUGCGGAGCAGGAGUCUCUUAAAGACAUACAAAGCAUAGCUCGUAGCCUUGUAUACUCCAGUGCUCCUAAUGCGCAACUGACACAAAAGGCACAAGGUGCUGAUGAUUGCAGUGACUCAGAGUAUGACCGAGAUGCUGAAGAGGAGGCCUAUGUAGAGGAAGAGGAUUUGAGAGAUGAAGAGGAGGUCGCUCUUGCUAAGUCCAAAGCAAUGGAAGCAUUAUCAAAUAAGCCACCCAACAUUACUCAUGAGAAUUGGACUAGCCUUGUCAAUAAAUGGUCUGAUGAAAGAAACAAGGUUUGUAACAAG